rfam:Hoeflea phototrophica DFL-43 chromosome, whole genome shotgun sequence.
AGAAUUCGGAGCGGCCUCCUCCUCCUCCCAAUAGCCGCUUCGAUGUGACUGACGUUCAUCCUCCUCCCGAGCGUCAGUCUUCCAAAAUGGCGCCCACCGGAUCCUCCUCCCCCGGUGGGCGUUAUUU